AAGCGGUUUCAAUGAAGUUUUCGGAUGGAAUUGAAAUUGACUUAGCGGCGGACGGGUGAGUAACGCGUGGGUAACCUGCCUUACACGUGGGGGAUAACAGUUAGAAAUGACUGCUAAUACCGCAUAAGCGCACAGGGCCGCAUGGUCUGGUGUAGAAAAACUCCGGUGGUGUAAGAUGGACCCGCGUCUGAUUAGGUAGUUGGUGGGGUAACGGCCCACCAAGCCGACGAUCAGUAGCCGGACUGAGAGGUUGACCGGCCACAUUGGGACUGAGAUACGGCCCAGACUCC
rnacentral:rRNA from 1 species